GCCGACUUAAGUCUCAGUAGGUAACGACGCAACUGACUUGUAAUUCAGUAGGUCAACCAGUUCGAUUCCGGUAGUCGGCACCA
rnacentral:tRNA from 1 species